CCUACGGGGGGCUGCAGUGGGGAAUAUUGCACAAUGGGCGGAAGCCUGAUGCAGCAACGCCGCGUGCGGGAUGAAGGCCUUCGGGUUGUAAACCGCUUUCAGUAGGGACGAAUGUGACGGUACCUACAGAAGAAGCACCGGCUAACUACGUGCCAGCAGCCGCGGUGAUACGUAGGGUGCGAGCGUUGUCCGGAUUUAUUGGGCGUAAAGAGCUCGUAGGCGGUUUGUUGCGUCGGAAGUGAAAACACGGGGCUUAACUUCGUGCUUGCUUUCGAUACGGGCAGACUUGAGGAAGGUAGGGGAGAACGGAAUUCCUGGUGGAGCGGUGGAAUGCGCAGAUAUCAGGAGGAACACCGGUGGCGAAGGCGGUUCUCUGGACCUUUCCUGACGCUGAGGAGCGAAAGCGUGGGGAGCAAACAGGCUUAGAUACCCCGGUAGUC
rnacentral:rRNA from 1 species